rnacentral:rRNA from 1 species
AAUCAACGCUGGCGGCGUGCCUCAGACAUGCAAGUCGAACGCGAAAGUCCCCUUCGGGGGACAAGUAGAGUGGCGCACGGGUGAGUAACACGUAGGUAAUCUACCUUCGGAUGGGGAAUAACAACCGGAAACGGUUGCUAAUACCGCAUAAUGCAGCGGCACCUAAUGGUGACAGUUGUUAAAGCGGGGGAUUGAAAGACCUCGCGUCUGAAGAGGAGCCUGCGGCGGAUUAGCUUGUUGGAGGGUAACGGCCUACCAAGGCGACGAUCCGUAGCCGGCCUGAGAGGGCGGUCGGCCACACUGACACUGACAUACGGGUCAGACUCCUACGGGAGGCAGCAGUCGGG